UACGAAGGUCCCAAGCGUUAUCCGGAUUUAUUGGGUUUAAAGGGUGCGUAGGCGGGCUAUUAAGUCAGUGGUGAAAGCCCCAAGCUUAACUUGGGAACUGCCAUUGAUACUGAUGGUCUUGAGUACAUUUGAGGUGGGCGGAAUGUGUCAUGUAGCGGUGAAAUGCUUAGAUAUGACACAGAACACCGAUUGCGAAGGCAGCUCACUAAACUGUAACUGACGCUGAGGCACGAAAGCGUGGGGAUCAAACAGG
rnacentral:rRNA from 1 species